GAAAAAUUAGCGGAUGACUUGUGGCUAGGGGUGAAAGGCCAAUCAAACCUGGAGAUAGCUGGUUCUCCCCGAAAGCUAUUUAGGUAGCGCCUCGGACGAAUACUACUGGGGGUAGAGCACUGUUAAGGCUAGGGGGUCAUCCCGACUUACCAACCCUUUGCAAACUCCGAAUACCAGUAAGUACUAUCCGGGAGACACACGGCGGGUGCUAACGUCCGUCGUGGAGAGGGAAACAACCCAGACCGCCAGCUAAGGUCCCAAAUUACUACUAAGUGGGAAACGAUGUGGGAAGGCUCAGACAGCCAGGAUGUUGGCUUAGAAGCAGCCAUCAUUUAAAGAAAGCGUAAUAGCUCACUGGUCGAGUCGGCCUGCGCGGAAGAUGUAACGGGGCUAAGUAGUAAACCGAAGCUGCGGCAAUGUGCUUUUGCACAUUGGGUAGGGGAGCGUUCUGUAAGCGGUUGAAGGUGUGUGGUAACGCAUGCUGGACGUAUCAGAAGUGCGAAUGCUGACAUGAGUAACGAUAAAGGGGGUGAAAAACCUCCUCGCCGGAAGACCAAGGGUUCCUGUCCAACGUUAAUCGGGGCAGGGUAAGUCGACCCCUAAGGCGAGGCCGAAAGGCGUAGUCGAUGGGAAACGGGUUAAUAUUCCCGUACUUCUUACAAUUGCGAUGGGGGGACGGAGAAGGCUAGGUGGGCCUGGCGACGGUUGUCCAGGUUCAAGUGCGUAGGCUUAAGAGUUAGGUAAAUCCGGCUCUUUCUAAGGCUGAGACACGACGUCGAGCACCUACGGGUGUGAAGUCAUUGAUGCCAUGCUUCCAGGAAAAGCCUCUAAGCUUCAGAUUGUAAGGAAUCGUACCCCAAACCGACACAGGUGGUCGGGUAGAGAAUACCAAGGCGCUUGAGAGAACUCGGGUGAAGGAACUAGGCAAAAUGGUACCGUAACUUCGGGAGAAGGUACGCUCUCGACGGUGAAGUCCCUUGCGGAUGGAGCUAUUGAGAGUCGCAGAUACCAGGUGGCUGCAACUGUUUAUUAAAAACACAGCACUGUGCAAAAUCGUAAGAUGACGUAUACGGUGUGACGCCUGCCCGGUGCCGGAAGGUUAAUUGAUGGGGUUAGACUUCGGUCGAAGCUCUUGAUCGAAGCCCCGGUAAACGGCGGCCGUAACUAUAACGGUCCUAAGGUAGCGAAAUUCCUUGUCGGGUAAGUUCCGACCUGCACGAAUGGCGUAAUGAUGGCCACGCUGUCUCCACCCGAGACUCAGUGAAAUUGAAAUCGCUGUGAAGAUGCAGUGUACCCGCGGCUAGACGGAAAGACCCCGUGAACCUUUACUACAGCUUGGCACUGAACAUUGACCCUACAUGUGUAGGAUAGGUGGGAGGCUUUGAAGCACGUACGCCAGUAUGUGUGGAGCCGUCCUUGAAAUACCACCCUUGUAGUGUUGAUGUUCUAACGUCGACCCCUAAUCGGGGUUGCGGACAGUGCCUGGUGGGUAGUUUGACUGGGGCGGUCUCCUCCCAAAGAGUAACGGAGGAGCACGAAGGUGGGCUAAUCACGGUUGGACAUCGUGAGGUUAGUGCAAUGGCAUAAGCCCGCUUGACUGCGAGAAUGACAAUUCGAGCAGGUGCGAAAGCAGGUCAUAGUGAUCCGGUGGUUCUGAAUGGAAGGGCCAUCGCUCAACGGAUAAAAGGUACUCCGGGGAUAACAGGCUGAUACCGCCCAAGAGUUCAUAUCGACGGCGGUGUUUGGCACCUCGAUGUCGGCUCAUCACAUCCUGGGGCUGAAGUCGGUCCCAAGGGUAUGGCUGUUCGCCAUUUAAAGUGGUACGCGAGCUGGGUUUAGAACGUCGUGAGACAGUUCGGUCCCUAUCUGCCGUGGGCGUUGGAAGAUUGAAGGGGGCUGCUCCUAGUACGAGAGGACCGGAGUGGACGAACCUCUGGUGUUCGGGUUGUGUCGCCAGACGCAUUGCCCGGUAGCUAAGUUCGGAAUCGAUAACCGCUGAAAGCAUCUAAGCGGGAAGCGAGCCCUGAGAUGAGUCUUCCCUGAUACUUUAAGUAUCCUAAAGGGUUGUCGGAGACUACGACGUUGAUAGGUCAGGUGUGUAAGUGCUGUGAGGCAUUGAGCUAACUGAUACUAAUUGCCCGUGAGGCUUAACCAUACAACACCCAAGGGGUUUUGAUGGACUCAAAGCAAGAACAGAAUUGAAUGUGUAGAGAACACAGAAACAGCUUUCCGAAUUAAAGAAUUUGCUUGGCGACCAUAGCGUUUUGGACCCACCUGACUCCAUUCCGAACUCAGAAGUGAAACGAAAUAGCGCCGAUGGUAGUGUGGGGUUUCCCCAUGUGAGAGUAGGACAUCGCCAGGCUUUAAAUAUCGUUACCCGUACUGCGUGUAACAACAUCUUCAGUGUACUAAUCUGAUGAUGACAAUUUGUGGAGAGAUGGCUGAGUGGUUGAAAGCACCGGUCUUGAAAACCGGCAUACGUUAAUAGCGUAUCUAGGGUUCAAAUCCCUAUCUCUCCGCCACUAUACAGAAAGCCUGCAAAGAAAUUUUCAGGCUUUCGUCAUGUUUGACGUUUGAAAAUUAGAUGGGGUUUGUAUUUAAUCCCAAGUCGGCCGUGACCCUGACUCUCAGUACAAUUAAGAAGCCUCGCUAGAAAUAGCGAGGCUUUUUUUAUUUCAGCGCAAACUGGAAAUGAUAGAGGUUUAGCAAAUCCCCGGUUGAGAUCCCCUUCAAGCUAGGCGCUCUUGUUCUAAUAUUCAGCACACAAUCACUCAAUACAAGGUUUGUUCUUAAAUGAAUGAUCUUUAGCAUACAGAUGUUCCAUUAAAGCUUUCGAACCUACUAAAGUGACGCUUUCUAAAGCAGCAAGACUUAAACGCUGUGAGAUUGAG
rnacentral:rRNA from 1 species